rnacentral:rRNA from 1 species
GAGACCUCAGGUCAGGCGGGGCUAUCCGCUGAAUU